rnacentral:lncRNA from 1 species
UUGAUUGCACGACAUUUAUUACAUAAAUAACCGUUGAUACUCGGUACGUGUCCGGUCGUCUACCAAUGUCGGCGGUGUAGCAGUAGACCUUUAUUGAAGGUUGGCGUGUGGCUCAUGAUGCGAUUACCUCCAUAGCAGCCACUUUGAAGGAUUCAUCCAUCAACUUAAACUUGUCAGCUGGGGCGGCAUCGAGGACAGCUUUAGCUGCUUUCUUGUAGGCAAGUGAAGUUGCAGCAACUUUCUUCUCAUCUCCUUGGGCCAUCCCGAGAGCAGCAAAGGCGAACAUUCUCCGCUUCCAGGUGGCAGCUUCAACUUCAUCCUUUUUUGCUGGUGGGGCAGCAGCCACAACGGAGUCGGCGGCCUCGUUGAUGGCCUGAGUUGCCUCAUCCAAGCGCUUAUCGACAGGGGCGAGGAGGGCCUUGUUGAAGCUCUUCUCGACGGGGGCGUCGCAUUCCACUUGCACUAACACGGCCGAUGCCGUGAUGGCUGCAAGGAGUAGGGCGACGGCUUUGGCCAUUGCUAAUUGUCACGCCCGGAAUUUCUAUCCAAAAUUCCAAACGCUUACAUGUGUGUGAACCCUCGUCCAGGAAUCAGCCGAGGCACACAAUAACAAAUUGAUAAUAGAGUACAAUUAUUACUCUAAUUAAUAAGCGAAUAAAAUGUCAUUACAGAGGUAGAUAGUUCCUCUCAAUCAAUAAAGAUCUAAGCAGCGGAAAAUAAAAUAAACGGCGCAGACGGCUCCACUCCACAGGCAGCUUGACCAAGGCUACACCUACUCCUCCACACCAUCAGCCUCAUUGAAGAACUCUUCCUCUGAUGAAUGAUUGCAAGGUGAGUAUAUGACAUACUCAGCAAGCCACGCAGCAAAUAUGCAAGUGCACAGGGUAACAAAGGAUGGCAUAAUAGGGCUCCAUUUGCAAAAAGCAGCAUUUAGCAAACAUUUGAGAAUUUAAAACAGUUAAGUAUUUAAACAAUAUUAAUCCAACACUAUACAACAUACCCUGUUGUAUAGGCCCAUCCAUUCUGAACAACCAUCCCGGCUGCACAGUUCUAUCUCCAAACCAGGAAUAUACCAUUCCAAACCAGGAGCUAAUCAAAUUAUUACCAGUUAUAGCAUCUUCUAUUAUGGUGAGAAGGGUGAGACUAAUCACGAAAGACAUUGUUCGACCCGCCCAUAACCGCGGGCACGGCUAUUCGAAUAGUUUUACUCUGAUCAGAGGUGUACCACUGUACCCACAAGACACAACCCCACAUCAUGUCACCAUGUGCCUCAAUACCACCACGGUACCUCGGAAAGGAGUUGUGACAAUACCCCUCGCAUAACACAAUCCAUUGCAGCGCACCUUCCUGGAUCAUAAUCACCCCCUUAUAAACAAGGCAUGGACUCCCCAGCGACCCCCGUGAGCUUAUCUCCGCCACUUCUCAGUCUGGUGCCCCGCAAUGAACCAUGCUAUACAAAAGAUAAAGCCGUUGCCCAUGCUGGCUUGUGGUUGGCACGAUAAAUGUUUCACAACCGAAACUCGUGAACCGGUCCUUAAUUGUCAUGAGCACGACCAGCAAAACCAUGUGCUCACAACCCACCAUUAUCAGGCUUUAGUUGGCACAUUAAUUAAUUAACUAACCACGAUUGACCAUCGUGAACUAUCAAUAAGCCAUCAUGAAAUAAUAGUGAAUCAUAAGUUAUCCCAAAAGUGAGCUAAUGUUUCUAAGCAGGGCUAAGCAAUUAUACCUAAUAUCUAGUUGAACCAAUAUAAAUAAAGUUCAACCAGUCAAAUUAUUAUAACCCAAGGUAUCAAGGAAUAAGGUAAACAAGAACAAAAGGGCUAUAACAAACAAUAGGUUAUUUCCACCCAAUGACAUUCGAAAAUAAAUGCAAUAGUUGAAAAGAAAUAAUAGCUUUAAAUAGGAUCAACAUGCUCAAAGGGUUGUUUGGGAUCUGUGUGACUUGCCUUGCUGGCCUUGGAACUCUUCAAACUCUUCUCCGGCGAAAACGGACUCUCCGGAAACGACGGAAUCUAAGCAGAAAAGAACAAAAUUACCAAAACAACACAUAAACAAGCAUGAACAGUACGUGUGGAUAUUUUUAAUGUGUAGAUCUCAAUUUUAGAAAAAUUUAGAGACUUGAACCAACUAAAUCGGAGCUAAGAUGAAUUAGUUAUGAAUUUUUAAAGAUUAAAUCGGAUUAAAAACACUUAUAUCGGUUUAAAUUGAAUUAUGACGCAAUAAUGAAUUAUUUUUGAAAAGGAAAAAGGGAUUUAUUGCGUCAGCGGGCUAGGGUUUCGGUGGACCGGGCGCACGGGCGGCGGUUCACGCGAACGGACGGCCGAGAUUCGAUCCAAUCCAAACGGACGGCCGAGAUCGAUCGGGUCCACGGCGGCUCACGGCGGACGACCCUGAUGACGUCAGCGGUGACGUCACCGACAGCGGCGGCGGCUCGGCGGAGCGGACGGCUUGGGCGGCGCACGCUCGCCGACGAACGGCGGCGCGAGGACGCUAACGAAGAGCACCAGCACGUAUAGGACGACGCGGCGAACACACCGGUGACCAAAACGGCGGCGGACGAACAACGGACGACAACAGCGACGAGAAGGAAGCGGCGGAAACCUUCGGGUUGUCGACGGCGACGCUGCUCCGGUGAUCUCCGGCGACGGCGAAGGGGCGAACGAGGACGGCGACGCGACGGCGACCACGAUGACGUCCUUCCCGAGCGACGGCGACGUCUGGAACGGCGGCGGCGCACGGCUGGAGCGGCGGCGACGACGGCAAAGCUAGGGCACACGGCGCUAGAGCUCUUCCGGCGACGAGAGGCAAAGGCGAAGGUGGCGACGGGUAGAGGAGACUCCGGGGGUCCUUUUAAAGGGGCUCGGAGGCGGCGACGAAGGCCCACGGCGACCGGCGACGGCGAAGGAAACCUCGGGCUUGGAGAGAAAGAAACCGAUCCGAAUCGAACUCGAUUCCACGAGCUUCCAAAACGUUUUAGCCGAUGAUUCCAAAGGAGAAAAGGUAGAGGAGAUCCCGGCGAUCAUUUCCCCCCUAUCAAUUCGGCCGGAGAAGGAAAGGAACGGCCGAAUUUGGAAAGGAACGGCGGCGGCGGCUCGGCGGCGGCGCGCUAGGGUUUCGGCCCGAGGAAGACGACGGGCCUGACAGGUGGGACCCACCUGUCAGCGACCGAACGCACGCGCGCGCGGGCGGCUCGGCUGCGGACUGGGCCGACUUGGGCCGGGGGAGAGAGAGAGAGAGUUUUGGGCCGACUUUCGGCCCAAAGCCAAAAGAGAACUUUUAAAACCUUUUUUUCAAUUUAAAUUAUUUCUUAAAUGCAAUUCCAUUUAUUAAAAAUACUUUCUUAGCUCAAAUAAAUCCCAGAAAAAUCUAGGAAUUAUAGAAUUAAGCAAAGUAUUUAAUGAAAUUUUAUCUGGCCCCAUUUUAUAUUGGAAUUUAUUAAUUAAACUUAGAUUUUCUUUUCAACACUUUUAAAAUAAAUUCUAGAAAUUCCAUUUAAACAACAAUUUAUAUAUUUUGAAUUUUCAGGGUGUGACACUAAUGAACUGGACAGGGAUCUUUCAAUGUUGGAAGAUGUUGCUACUGCGCGCGGAUUUGCUGUGUGAGUUUGUAGGGAUCAUCGGGGCUUUAAAUAGGGAAACACGUACCAUGAUAACCUAAGGCCAAGAGAGCUUCAUGGUCCAAAAUUGAUUGGUUGCAUGCAUGUGUGCCAAGUGUUCGGUCCGUAGUGCAUGCUAUCCUUUGUCUUGACUGAGCCUGCAAGAUCCAAAUCUGGACUUCCACAACCCCGAUAUGAAAUUUAUAUGUACGCAAGAUGUUAAGGGCAGAAAACCCAUUGUCCGGUUGGCAAUAGGUACGCGAAUGAGCAUGAACGACGUGUCGAGGGGUGUUGUCAAAGAAAAACAAAGGUAAGAACCACUUUGGCAACAAAUUCGACAAGGUCAUCAGCGAUUCUUAUACGAGUCUACGCAACGGUCACUAAAGUUCCAAUAGCAUGUGAAGCUAUAAACAUAUCAUUCAGGUUCCUAGGCAUCAAACUUCGCCAAUGUUACUUACGGUGUGUUUGUGAGGAGGGGAAAAGAGAAUAUACGCAAAAAAGGGUGAGUCAUCAGCGUAUGAUUAGUUGAGUGUUAAUUAUUUUAUACCUUAAAAAUUGAUUAGUAGGAUAUUUUAACCAACUUUUGUACCGAAUUGUCUUGCGAAAAACACACCGUUUAGCAGUUCGAGAAGCGUGCGCGCGGCGAACGAGGGAUUUUUUUUCUCCGGAUGCCAAAAACGCAGCCUUAGAGCGUAUAUAGCAAAGGAGAAGUAAAUGUCGAGGACAUCGAUGGUGAAUAUGCCACGUUACUCGCUAAGGGUUACGACGAAGCAGUCGUAUUUGAGAUAGGAAGUGCUUUGCACUUGGACGGCGCCGGGUAUGAUGCUCUUGUUCUAGUUUUAGCCGCUCAUAUGGUACUUAUGGCGGAAAAAAAGACAUGGCGGGUUGUCGUAAGUCCUAAAAAGAAUUCGGAUGAAAAAUUCAUGCCCGUUUUACUGAAGGGCACGCCGAAUAGGGAGCUACGUACAUAAAUAUUUCUUUGGCUAACUCUUUGAAUAGGUCCAGCGGCUGAAACAAGGAGGCUAGCACAGUUGUGCUUUUGAUUCAAGGCGGUUUGCAACCUAUCUAAAUGCAAGAUGCCUAGGAAGCGGGAUAUUUGACAUGGAGGUUUUGGGCAAACCGAAAGAUCUCGUCACAAGUCCUAUGGUUAUUUUACAUGGAAUCUCGGCAAAUAACAGCCGCCCAACAACAGUCUUAUAUGUGUGCAUAUAUCGAAGCGUUGAUGCACGCAAGCUGGUCCGGUUUAUGUUAUUUCUUACAUAAGAUAUUUUUACUCCAUACUUUUGUUUAAAGAAUCAUUCAAAGGAUUUCAUGGAAAAAAAAAAGUUCCGCCAAGUGCCAAGGAUCGACAUUUUGAACUAGAAAUGUUAGAUGGCACCGGAUUAUUUUUUUUCCACCUGGUGCUCUUACAAAUGGAGAGAAUGGAAUGAGUAGAAUUGAUUGCACGACAUUUAUUACAUAAAUAACCGUUGAUACUCGGUACAUGUCCGGUCGUCUACCAAUGUCGGCGGUGUAGCAGUAGACCUUUAUUGAAGGUUGGCGUGUGGCUCAUGAUGCGAUUACCUCCAUAGCAGCCACUUUGAAGGAUUCAUCCAUCAACUUAAACUUGUCAGCUGGGGCUGCAUCGAGGACAGCUUUAGCUGCUUUCUUGUAGGCAAGUGAAGUUGCAGCAACUUUCUUCUCAUCUCCUUGGGCCAUCCCGAGAGCAGCAAAGGCGAACAUUCUCCGCUUCCACGUGGCAGCUUCAACUUCAUCCUUUUUUGCUGGUGGGGCAGCAGCCACAACGGAGUCGGCGGCCUCGUUGAUGGCCUGAGUUGCCUCAUCCAAGCGCUUAUCGACAGGGGCGAGGAGGGCCUUGUUGAAGCUCUUCUCGACGGGGGCGUCGCAUUCCACUUGCACUAACACGGCCGAUGCCGCGAUGGCUGCAAGGAGUAGGGCGACGGCUUUGGCCAUUGCUAAUGAACUGGACAGGGAUCUUUCAAUGUUGGAAGAUGUUGCUACUGCGCGCGGAUUUGCUGUGUGAGUUUGUAGGGAUCAUCGGGGCUUUAAAUAGGGAAACACGUACCAUGAUAACCUAAGGCCAAGAGAGCUUCAUGGUCCAAAAUUGAUUGGUUGCAUGCAUGUGUGCCAAGUGUUCGGUCCGUAGUGCAUGCUAUCCUUUGUCUUGACUGAGCCUGCAAGAUCCAAAUCUGGACUUCCACAACCCCGAUAUGAAAUUUAUAUGUACGCAAGAUGUUAAGGGCAGAAAACCCAUUGUCCGGUUGGCAAUAGGUACGCGAAUGAGCAUGAACGACGUGUCGAGGGGUGUUGUCAAAGAAAAACAAAGGUAAGAACCACUUUGGCAACAAAUUCGACAAGGUCAUCAGCGAUUCUUAUACGAGUCUACGCAACGGUCACUAAAGUUCCAAUAGCAUGUGAAGCUAUAAACAUAUCAUUCAGGUUCCUAGGCAUCAAACUUCGCCAAUGUUACUUACGGUGUGUUUGUGAGGAGGGGAAAAGAGAAUAUACGCAAAAAAGGGUGAGUCAUCAGCGUAUGAUUAGUUGAGUGUUAAUUAUUUUAUACCUUAAAAAUGGAUUAGUAGGAUUUUUUAACCAACUUUUGUAUCGAAUUGUCUUGCGAAAAACACACCGUUUAGCAGUUCGAGAAGCGUGCGCGCGGCGAACGAGGGAUUUUUUUCUCCGGAUGCCAAAAAGGCAGCCUUAGAGCGUAUAGAGUGUCACACCCUGAUUUUCGUCUUAGGAUUUAUAAAUUAUUUAAUAAAUUAUUAAUAGAAUUUAUAUGAAAUGUUCAAUAAUUUGCAAGUGAAGUUAAUUGUGGGAAAUAAAAUUUCCUAAAUUUAAAGCAUGGAUGGAUUUAAUUUUUAUUAAAUUCUCCAUGAUUAAUUAUACUCUCUGGAAUUUUCUCGGAUUUUUCGGAGCUCAAUUCCUAAAUGAUACAAAGAACAUUUCAGUAAUUAUUUGAUCAAUAAUGAUCUAAUUAUAAUUGUUAAGAGUUUUUCUUGUUUAAAAUCCUUAAAUUAUAAAUUGUUGUUUAAAAGGAAUUAUUAGAAAUAAUUUUAAAAGCUUAAAAGAGAAGAUCUAAUUUUAAUUUGCUAAAUCUCAAUAUAAAAUUGAGCUAGAUAAAAUUUUAUUAAAUACUUUGCUUGUUCCUCUAUUUUCUAGAAUUUUCUGGGAAUUAUUUGAGCAAGGGAAGUAUUUUUAAUAAAUGAAACAACAUUUCACAAAUUAUUUUAAUUGAAGAAAGUUCAAAAAACCCCUUCCUAAGCCGUUGGGCCGAAUUCGGCCCAACUCUCUCUCUCUCCCGCGCGGCCCAAGCCGGCCCAGCCGAGCCGCCCGCCCUCUCCUCCUCCAGCCGCCGACAUGUGGGGCCCACAUGUCGGACCUCUCUUCAACCUCCGGCCGGCUGCCAUGCCGAGCCCGACCGAGCCGCCUUCCGCCUCCAAAUCCACCCCAAUCCGGUCUCCUCGUGUCCGAUUGAUUGAGGGGUUUUGAUCCUCUCGUUCUCCUCUAUCUUUCCCCUCAAGAAACGGAGCAAUCCGUUGAGUAUCCUAUCCGAAUCAAACUCGUUUUCGAGUUUAUCUCCAAAACCGAGUUUUGAUUUUCUUGGAUCGAUUUCUCUCGUUUGGAGUCCGAUCUCUUCAAUCCAAUGCUAUAUAUAGGACCACCUCGUCGCCCUCUUUCGUUUGCCCCCUCUCCCGUGGUCUCCCGUGCCUCCUAGCCGCCGCGCCGCCGCCUUUUAGCCCGCCGCCGCCGCCGGCCGUCUUCAGCCGCGUCGCGCCGCCGUUUGCGCCGUCGCCGCCGCUUGCCGCCGCCGCCGUUAGGUGCACCGUGGUGAGGAGAACCUCGGCCGCCUGUCCCUCUUCGCCGCCGACCACCGGAGCUCCGCCGUCGCCGUCAACCCGAACCGCCGCCACCGUCCUCUUCGUCGCCGGCCGUCGUCGGUCAUCGGUAGACGUUGUGGUGAGUACCGUUGGGUUCGCCUCGUCGUCCUCUACGCGUAGGUGUCCUCCAAUCACCCGGCCAAGGUCCCUAGCUCCGGCGAGGUCGCCGUCCGAGUCGGCCGACCUGUGGCUGCCUUGGGUGACGUCAUGCUGACGUCAUCAUCCUUUCUUUUUUUUUUUCCUAAUAGAUUAAAUCUUCUGAAAAUCAUAACUAAAUCAUCGUAACUCAGUUUAAUGUGGUUCAAGUUGCAAAAGUUGUAUAAAAUAAAGAUAUACAUAUUAAAAUUGUCCAUAAAUUGAAUUAAAUUUAUUUAAUUCUUUUUAAAUGGGCUUUAAUUAGAUUUAAUCUUGUAAAACUCAUAAUAAAUUCAUUUGAAGUCAGAAUGAGGCUGUUCAAGUCUCAUAAUUCAUCUAAAAUUAUGAUCUACGUGUUUGUUUACUUUAUAUGUAUUGUUUAUUUGGUUUUUAUUAGUCUUUUACUUCGUUUUGCGUGUUAGCUUGUUGUUUCCGUCGUUGCGAAGGUUCGCGAGUGCGUCGGAAGUGAUCAAGAAGAUUAAUUGAAGACCGAUUAUUGCAAGGCAAGUCACACAGAUCCUAAACACAAUCCUUUGAGCAUGUUGAUCCUAUAUUUAAAUUCUCUAUUUAUUUCAACUGUGCAUUUAUUUUCGAAUGUCACCGGGUGGUGUGAACCUAUUCCUUUGUUAAGGCCAAUUUGCAUUGAAUGCCCUAUUCCUUGAUACCUUGGGUAAUAAAUUGAUUAGCUUGAACCUUAUGUAUUGGUUUGGUUCAGCUAAAUGUUAUAUAUAUAAUUGCUUAGCAAUGCUUAGAAACAUUAGCUCACUAAUGGGAUGAAUCAUAUAUACUACAUUAUUAUUCAUGGUUAUAUUUAAUGGUAGCUCACGAUGGUUAAUCGUGUUAUGAUAAUUAAUUGGUAAUUAAAAUAUGAUUAAUGGUGGGUUGUGAGCAUAUGGUUUUGAAGGUCGUGCUCAUGGCAAUUAAGGACCGGUUCGCGAGCUACUGUUGUGAAACAUUUACCGUGCCAACCACAAGCCAGCAUGGGCAACGGCUUUAUCUUUUGUAUAGCGUGAUUCAUUAUAGUGCGCCAGACUGAGAACUGGCGAGAAGUCCACGGGGGUCGCUGGGGAGUCCAUGCCUUGUUUUAUAAGGGAGUGAUUAUGAUCCAGGAAAGGUGCGCUGUAAUGGGUUAUGUUGUGCAAGGGGUAUUGUCACAACUCCUUUCCGAGGUACCGUGGUGGUACUGAGGCACAUGGUGACAUGAUGUGGGGUUGUGUCUUGUGGGUACAGUGGUACACCUCUGGCCAGAGUUUAAUCUAUUCGAAUAGCCGUGCCCGCGGUUAUGGGCGAGUUGAGCAAUGUUUUUCAUGAUUAGUCUCACACCUCUCACAAUAAUUAUUGAUGGUUAUAACUGGUAAUGAUUUGCUUAGCUCCUGGUUUGGAGUUAGAUCUGUACAGCCGGGAAUGGUUGUUCAGGAUGGUUGGGCCUGAGCAGCAUGGGUGUGCUGUUCAGUGUUGAUUAAGAUUGAUGAUUAAUUACUCUACUGUUUUACUUAUCUUAAAUCUUUGCUAAAUGCUGCUUUUGCAAAUGAGCCUAUAUUAUGCCAUCCUUUGGAAUCCUUGUGCACUUGCAUAUUUGCUGUGUGGCUUGUUGAGUAUGUCAUAUGCUCAUUCUUGCAAUAAUCAAUCAACCUCAGUUGAAGAAAAAGGAUCCAGAAGGAGAAGACGUUUGGCUUAUACCCCAGUUGAGCUGCCUGUGGGAGUGGAGCCGGAGCUUCGCUAGAUUUUAUUUUCCGCUGCAGUUUUCUUCAUGGUGAGGACUAAGUGCCUCUUAAGUAAGUAUAUAUCGGUUUAGUUAUUAUGAUGGAUUUGUAUAUUAAAUUGUCAGUUUGUGUACCUCGGCUGAUUCCUGGACGAGGAUUUUAUGCACAAAUAAGUUCGGAAAUUACUAGUGAAUUUCCGGGCGUGACAUAGAGCAAAGGAGAAGUAAAUGUCGAGGACAUCUAUGGUGAAUAUGCCACGUUACUCGCUAAGGGUUACGACGAAGCAGUCGUAUUUGAGAUAGGAAGUGCUUUGCACUUGGACAGCGCCGGGUAUGAUGCUCUUGUUCUAGUUUUAGCCGCUCAUAUGGUACUUAUGGCGGAAAAAAAGACAUGGCGGGUUGUCGUAAGUCCUAAAAAGAAUUCGGAUGAAAAAAUCAUGCCCGUUUUACUGAAGGGCACGCCGAAUAGGGAGCUACGUACAUAAAUAUUUCUUUGGCUAACUCUUUGAAUAGGUCCAGCGGCUGAAACAAGGAGGCUAGCGCAGUUGUGCUAUUGAUUCAAGGCGGUUUGCAACCUAUCUAAAUGCAAGAUGCCUAGGAAGCGGGAUAUUUAACAUGGAGGUUUUGGGCAAACCGAAAGGUCUCGUCACAAGUCCUAUGGUUAUUUUACAUGGAAUCUCGGCAAAUAACAGUCGCCCAACAACAGUCUUAUAUGUGUGCAUAUAUCGAAGCGUUGAUGCACGCAAGCUGGUCCGGUUUAUGUUAUUUCUUACAUAAGAUAUUUUUACUCCAUACUUUUGUUUAAAGAAUCAUUCAAAGGAUUUCAUGGAAAAAAAAAAGUUCCGCCAAGUGCCAAGGAUCGACAUUUUGAACUAGAAAUGUUAGAUGGCACCGGAUUAUUUUUUUCCCCCUGGUGCUCUUACAAAUGGAGAGAAUGGAAUGAGUAGAAUUGAUUGCACGACAUUUAUUACAUAAAUAACCGUUGAUACUCGGUACGUGUCCGGUCGUCUACCAAUGUCGGCGAUGUAGUAGUAGACCUUUAUUGAUGGUUGGCGUGUGGCUCAUGAUGCGAUUACCUGCAUAACAGCCACUUUGAAGGAUUCAUCCAUCAACUUAAACUUGUCAGCUGGGGCGGCAUCGAGGACAGCUUUAGCUGCUUUCUUGUAGGCAAGUGAAGUUGCAGCAACUUUCUUCUCAUCUCCUUGGGCCAUCCCGAGAGCAGUUAUGGCGAAGAUUCUCCGCUUCCACGUGGCAG